rnacentral:misc_RNA from 1 species
AAUUCUCAAAACCUUUCUUUUGAAAGGAUUUUGGACUUGGAGGCUUUUUGCUGGUUUCACCUCGAAGCGAGCUCCUCCUAAAUGGAUUAGUGGGGUCUGCUUUGCCGAUCCUUGACGUGAUAAGAUGCUUCUACGUCUUGGGUUUGGCUCUGUCCCUUGGACACCUGCUUCAAACCGUCUCAAUGACAAUGAUGGUGUUCCGGUCUGCCACUGUCUCAUCAGUGGGCGGGCUUGACCCACCAACAAAA